GACAGAGGCCCCAAGCGUUAGGCGGAAUCACUGGGCUUAAAGCGUGCGUAGGCGGAUCGUUAAGUGUCUUGUGAAAUCCCACGGCUCACCCGUGGAACUGCUGGGCAUACUGGCGAUCUUGGGCCAACUAGGGGCAGCCGGAACAAGCGGUGGAGCGGUGAAAUGCGUAGAUAUCGCUUGGAACGCCGAAGGUGAAAACAGGCUGCUGGGGUUGUGCCGACGCUGAGACACGAAAGCCAGGGGAGCAAACGGG
rnacentral:rRNA from 1 species